UCCGGAUUGGGCACUAUCACUACACUUGGGCCACACUGAGAUGAAGGCCACAAAGACUGCACGCUAUGAGAGACAGAACAAAAGAAAACGGCAAAGGACUGACAGUACACCUGCGAUGGAUGAGACAGUUAUUGAUGACCUUGUUCCACCAGUGGAGACACCAGCACCAGCAGAGGAUGGAGCUGACCAGACACUGCUGACAGAAUGUGACUUCUGUCAGCGUCAGCGUGCUGAAAUCAACCGGCUGCUGGAAGAGAACAGGACCCUGAAAUGUGAGCUUGGCCAGAGAAAAAUGUAUGAACAUUUCCUGAAGGAUGACAACGUCAAAGUGAAAUACUACACUGGACGUCCACACCUUGAAGUUGUCAUGGGUGUUGUAGCCUGUGUUGGACCGUACAUGACACAGAGUAGUAAAGUUCUGUCACCUUUUCAGAUGCUUUUCCUGACCCUCAUGCGCCUUAGACUAAACUUACCUUUACAACACAUUGCCCACCUCUUUUGUGUAGACAGAAAAACUGUUUCCAAAACGUUCAGUGACACCAUAAAUGUUCUGCAUGCGCGCACCAGCCCUUUGAUUAACUGGCCAGGGCGAGAUGCGUUGCAUGCAACUAUGCCCCAUCAGUUUGUGGAGGCCUUUGGGAAGCGUGUUGCUGUUAUUCUGGACUGUUUUGAAAUAUUCAUACAGACACCAUCAAAUCUUAAAGCUCAAGCUCAGUCAUAUUCCCACUACAAACACAACACAACUAUGAAAUUCCUUAUUGGUAUUACACCACAGGGCUCAAUUUCUUUCAUUUCCAAGGGAUGGGGGGGGACGCGUCAGUGAUAAGCACGUAACUGAUAACUGUGGGAUUCUGGACAAACUGUUACCUGGGGAUUUGGUGUUGGCUGACCGCGGCUUUGACAUACAGGACAGUGUAGGACUUAUGUGUGCCGAAGUAAAGAUCCCUGCUUUCACAAAAGGACGCUGUCAGCUGGAUGCAAGAGACGUGGAGAGCACAAGAAAAAUUGCCCACCUCCGAAUUCAUGUGGAAAGGGUGAUCGAACAAGUACACCAUUUUGUCAGCUAAAGUACCUAUUCACAUGGUGUUGCCAUGCAAGGAUGAAGACAUGACAUUUCUUGAUAAGAUUGUGUCUGUAUGUUGUGCUCUGACAAACAUGAGCCCUAGUGUUGUGCUGAAAUAAAUGUGCAUCUGGUUU